rnacentral:rRNA from 1 species
UACGAAGGGGGCUAGCGUUGUUCGGAAUGAUUGGGCGUAAAGGGUGUGUAGGCGGUUAGACACGUCAGAUGUGAAAGCCCCGGGCUUAACCUGGGAAUUGCAUUUGAUACUCUGGAGCUUGAGUACGGGAGAGGAGAGUGGAAUUCCCAGUGUAGAGGUGAAAUUCGUAGAUAUUGGGAAGAACACCGGUGGCGAAGGCGGCGACCUGGUCCGUGACUGACGCUGAGGCGCGAAAGCGUGGGGAGCAAACAGG